UACGUAGGGUGCAAGCGUUUGUCCGGAAUUAUUGGGCGUAAAGAGCUCGUAGGCGGUUUGUCGCGUCUGCCGUGAAAGUCCGGGGCUCAACUCCGGAUCUGCGGUGGGUACGGGCAGACUAGAGUGAUGUAGGGGGAGACUGGAAUUCCUGGUGUAGCGGUGAAAUGCGCAGAUAUCAGGAGGAACACCGAUGGCGAAGGCAGGUCUCUGGGCAUUAACUGACGCUGAGGAGCGAAAGCGUGGGGAGCAAACAGG
rnacentral:rRNA from 1 species